rnacentral:rRNA from 1 species
UAGGGAAUAUUGGACAAUGGGUGCGAGCCUGAUCCAGCCAUGCCGCGUGCAGGAAGACGGCCUUCUGGGUUGUAAACUGCUUUUGCCAGGGGAUAAAACGUCCAUGCGUGGAUAAUUGAAGGUACCUGGUGAAUAAGCCACGGCUAACUACGUGCCAGCAGCCGCGGUAAUACGUAGGUGGCAAGCGUUGUCCGGAUUUAUUGGGUUUAAAGGGUGCGUAGGCGGUUUUAUAAGUCAGUGGUGAAAUACAAUAGCUUAACUAUUGAGGUGCCAUUGAUACUGUAAGACUUGAGUACAGACGAGGUAGGCGGAAUUGACGGUGUAGCGGUGAAAUGCUUAGAUAUCGUCAAGAACACCGAUAGCGAAGGCAGCUUACUAGACUGUAACUGACGCUGAGGCACGAAAGUGUGGGGAUCAAACAGG